rnacentral:rRNA from 1 species
AUUGAACGCUGGCGGCAGGCCUAACACAUGCAAGUCGAACGGUAACAGGAAGCAGCUUGCUGCUUUGCUGACGAGUGGCGGACGGGUGAGUAAUGUCUGGGAAACUGCCUGAUGGAGGGGGAUAACUACUGGAAACGGUAGCUAAUACCGCAUAACGUCGCAAGACCAAAGAGGGGGACCUUCGGGCCUCUUGCCAUCGGAUGUGCCCAGAUGGGAUUAGCUAGUAGGUGGGGUAACGGCUCACCUAGGCGACGAUCCCUAGCUGGUCUGAGAGGAUGACCAGCCAUACUGGAACUGAGACACGGUCCAGACUCCUACGGGAGGCAGCAGUGGGGAAUAUUGCACAAUGGGCGCAAGCCUGAUGCAGCCAUGCCGCGUGUAUGAAGAAGGCCUUCGGGUUGUAAAGUACUUUCAGCGGGGAGGAAGGGAGUAAAGUUAAUACCUUUGCUCAUUGACGUUACCCGCAGAAGAAGCACCGGCUAACUCCGUG